rnacentral:rRNA from 1 species
CCCUACGGGGGGCAGCAGUAGGGAAUCUUCCACAAUGGGCGAAAGCCUGAUGGAGCAACGCCGCGUGGGUGAAGAAGGUCUUCGGAUCGUAAAACCCUGUUGUUAGAGAAGAAAGUGCGUGAGAGUAACUGUUCACGUUUCGACGGUAUCUAACCAGAAAGCCACGGCUAACUACGUGCCAGCAGCCGCGGUAAUACGUAGGUGGCAAGCGUUAUCCGGACUUAUUGGGCGUAAAGGGAACGCAGGCGGUCUUUUAAGUCUGAUGUGAAAGCCUUCGGCUUAAACGGAGUAGCGCAUUGGGAACU